CACCCCACAGUAUAUGGAGUUCCUGGGCCAGGGAUCAGAUCUGAGUCAUAGUUGUGACCUAAGCUGCAGCUGAGGCAACACCAGAUCCUUAAUCCACUGUGCUGGGCAGGGAUAGAACCUGUGUCCCAAUGCUCCCAAGAGGCAGCUAAUCUGUUGUGCCACAGUGGUAACUCCAUUCACUGUUUUGUUUUGUUUUUUUAAGAGCCACAGUUGCAACAUAUGGAAGAUCCCAGGCUAGGGGUCCAAUUGGAACUACAGCUGCCAGCUCCAGCCUAUGCCACAGCCACAACAAUGCAAUAUCAGAGCGGCAUCUGCAACCUACACCAAAGCUCAAGGCAAAUGCCAGAUCCUCAACCCACUGAAUGGGGCCAGGCAUCGAACCCACGGCCUCAUGGAUACUAGUUGGUUUGUUUCUGCUGAGCCACAGUGAUAACUCCUAUUCAAUGCUUUUUAAUGUGAAGUAGUAUUCCAUGGUUUGGAUUUACCCCAGUCUGGUUUAUCAUUCGCCCACUGAAAGACAUUUGGUCUGCUUCUUGUUUUGGGCUUUUAUGAAUAAAACUACUAUCAACAUUCACUUACAGGUUUUCUAUAAACAAAUGUUCUUAUUUGGGGGGUGGGGGAGAAUGCCCAAUGGUGCAUUUGCUAGGUUUUAAUUUGCAUUUCCCUGAACACUAAUAAUGUUGAUUGUCUUUUCACGCUUUUUGCACUUGUUUUAAUUCUCCUAUUUAGCACCAAGAUUUGCAUUUUUAGCGACUGGGAAAAUAAAAGAAAAUUUGAUUUUUAAAAAUCUAUCCUCACAUUCUUUCCUCCAUGGAGACUACAAUUCCUCUUGACUAAAUUUCUUAUCCAAAAUCAAGUAGAUCAUCAUUAAGUAUCCUUACACAGAACUGUGGUUAUUCUAAAGAUGCUGAAAUGGAUAUUCAUUUAUACACUCCCCUUGGAAACCUUUUUAAUAAGAAAAAAUUUCAAACAUACAGUAAAGUUAAUAAUAACCAUUAUUCCAUUAUAACCACUCUCAUGUAACAAUUGUCCCCAGCUUCAUUAAUUACCAACAUUUUGCCAAUAUUUUUCAACUCUGCAAUUUGUAUUAUUUUUUCCAGAGUAUUUUAAAGCAAAUCCUUACAUCAUAUAACUUCACUCAUGAAUUAAUAGUUUUCUUGACAAAGUGGUCAUGAGAUUGUCUAAGCUGGAGGACACAUAAGUCGACUUUGGAGGAAAGCUUCAAAAUGCUCUUUUACUGUUGUUGAAAAAACAAAGCAUUGCAGAAGAUGACCUACUGGGCAGGUAUACUUCUUGGAAUGUUUUACUGAAUUAUUUUUUAACGUAAUUACUCUUUUUCUAGACUGAACACCAGUGUUUUAUAUGUACCAGUAGAUAUAGAGUGGAGGACACCACUGUUUUAUAUGUAUAAGUACAUUUUGGGCUAUGAUCUUGAUAAAAUGAACAAGAUGUUUCCUUAUUAAAUGGAAGGUCACAUAAGAUAAACAGAAGCAUCUAUUCCAUGUAUAAGACAGUUGUUUCUCUGAUUUUAAGCCUUCAUUUUUCCCUUUUUACCAUGAGAAAUGACUUUUCAUUUGACUCCUGAGUAACUUUUGUAAAUAUGUUCAAUUUAAGCACAAACUCAGCUGUCCUUGGCAUAUUUCUGCUUCUCCAUGAUACUAUAGAUGACAAUGAGGUCAUUUCACAAUUGCUUCUUUUCUGAAAAACACAGCUGGCUCGGUUUGGUAGCAACAUUCUCAUUGCUGCAUUUCCCAAGUCACCACAGUACUUCAACUGAUCUCUUCAGAACAGAUUGUAUCUAUGUAAUAUUCUUUCACAAUAAAAUCCCUAUAAUCAAAUGACUACAAUAGCCAGGAGUGGUAUGCCUCUUACUUCGGACCAGAAUUGUUCUAUCCCAUAUCCUUUCAAUAACUCUAGCUCACUGAAGGUUCAGGUUUUUUCAAACCAGGAAUAAGUGAUGGUUGACAUUUGUCUUCCAACCAUUCCUUACCAGGGGUAUUGUGACAGAACUCCUUUGGAUCUUAUAUAGAUUAUAAUAAUUCAUAAAUUACUUGGUUUCCCUAUCAUUUUGUGGGGUUUUUUUUUUUAUUAAGAGUCACUUUUGCUCCUUCUUUCUAAACAUGGUUACAUAUCUUACAACAACUUAUGGUAUACUUAAGAAUGUGCUAAACAGAAGCAUGCUCAAGAUCCCUCUAAAUAAUCUCUCAUUGUACACAUAUUUUCCCUUCAGAAAAAAAGGAAAAUUCAACACAAUUUUAACUAUUUCUCUCCACUCUUAUUGCCAUAUCCCAAGAACCAGAACUGAGGACACUGCUGGCUCACAGAAGGAGCUAUGAGAGCUAUCAAUUUAUUGCCUUUCAGCUCCGAAUCUGCCCUUUGCUAUCUGCUCCAUGGUAAAUGUAGAUGGACUCAGCAAAUAGAAUUCCUUGGCCAAUUGGCACAGUGUUUAGGUUUUGUCAAUAGAAGGUGCUACACGGGCAUUCCCAUUGUGGCUUAAUAGGUUAUGAACCUGACUAGUAUUCAUGAAGACACGGGUUUGAUCGCUGGUCUCACUCAGUAGGUCAGGGAUCUGGUGUUGCCGUGAGCUGUGGUAUAGGUCACAGACAUGGCUCAGAGCUCAUGUUGCUGUGGCUGUGGUGUAAGCUGGCAGCUCCAGCUCUGAUUUGACCCCUAUCCUGGGAACUUCUAUAUGCCGCAGGUGUGGCCCUAAAAAGCAAAAAAAAAAAAAAAAAGAAGAAGAAGAAGAAGAAAAAGAAGCCUCUGUAGCACACAGGGCUACACAUCCAGGAACCGUAGCACAAUUUACUUCUCUGGUUCCUGGCUCCCCGUGGCAUACUGUGGCCAUUAGGGUCCUGUGUCAGCAGCUUUCCCCAGCACCUCCUCAGGAGGGCUCUGAAGUGAAACAAGACACUUCUCUGUGAAUAGCUUCCCUGGCAUAUCUUCAGGUGGCUUUCUGGCAACUUCUGAAGUGUGGCACCCCCCCAUCCGCAAUGGGACAGCUUCCAUUGCCUUAGAGGCAAAUUUCAAGCCAGUUCUGCUAGCAUGGUACCCUAGCAACUUCUCUGCCACCCAGCAAGUCACAACUACACACUUUCCAACCAGGUCUGGAUCUCAUUCCUGAAGGCCUCUCGUUUGGAUACCACACCUCAACCCUAGCAUAGUGGCUUCUAGGACAAUGAGAGGGUUAAUACAUUUGCAAAGAGAAUCUAGACUGUAAAGCCAGUAGAAAUGUCCCUGAAUAUCAGAUUUCAAAAAUACUAGAUUUCAAGACUGCCUUUAACUCAGCUGCAUAACACUCUUCCCGUUCUUCUCCCACACUCAACUCCUAACAACAAAGGAAUAAAUGAAUAAGUAAAUAAAUAGAUAGGUAAUUUAAUUCCUGUUCUUUAAAAUCUCACUGUUAGGAAAUGCUGCUUAAUGUCAAAAUUAAAUUCCUCACCCA
rnacentral:lncRNA from 1 species